rnacentral:tRNA from 1 species
GAGGGUAUAGCUCAGUGGUAGAGUGCAUGCCUAGCAUGUGGGAGGUACUGGGUUCAAUCCCCUGCACCUCCA